rnacentral:rRNA from 1 species
GACGAACGCUGGCGGCGUGCUUAACACAUGCAAGUCGAACGGAAAGGCCCUGCUUUUGUGGGGUGCUCGAGUGGCGAACGGGUGAGUAACACGUGAGUAACCUGCCCUUGACUUUGGGAUAACUUCAGGAAACUGGGGCUAAUACCGGAUAGGAGCUCCUGCUGCAUGGUGGGGGUUGGAAAGUUUCGGCGGUUGGGGAUGGACUCGCGGCUUAUCAGCUUGUUGGUGGGGUAGUGGCUUACCAAGGCUUUGACGGGUAGCCGGCCUGAGAGGGUGACCGGCCACAUUGGGACUGAGAGACGGCCCAGAAGGCUACGGGAGGCAGCAGUGGGGAAUAUUGCACAAUGGGCGGAAGCCUGAUGCAGCAACGCCGCGUGCGGGAUGACGGCCUUCGGGGUGUAAACAGAUUUCGCCUGUGACGAAGCGGGAGUGACGGUAAUGGGUAAAGAAGCACCGGCUAACUACGUG